GGUCCGUCCGCACCAUCGCAUGGCAGAGGCGGGGGAACCAAGUUCUCGGAUCUCCGACCGGAGAUCCUCGGGGUUAAGCCGCUGUGCGUGCAGCGGCCGGGUGACUCCCAUCCGAACCCGACAGCUCACCUCGUAGGCGUUGGGAGAGGCAAU
rnacentral:sRNA from 2 species